GUCUGGACGCUUUGGCGAAGGCAGGACUGGAUAUUUGGAUUACAGAAUUAGACAUUGACGAAGCAGACGAAACAAGAAAAAGACAGAAAUACGAAGAAGUCUUGAGAGUUUACUUCAGUCACCCUGCUGUAAAAGGGGUUAUGUUCUGGGGAUUCUGGGAUGGACGACAUUGGAGACCUGCUGCUGCUCUUGCUAAUGGUCCUAGCGUUACGCCAAAUGCAGCGGGGAGAAGAGUACAGAAAUUACUGAAACAUACGUGGAGAACAAAUGAAUCUCAUAGUAUAGCGCAUGGGCAGUCAGUUAAAAUACGCGGAUUCAUGGGAUCUUAUAAACUACUAGUUCGCCAUGCAGGACAAGUUAUUCAUACAGAGGAUUUUAAUCUUGGAAAAGGUGGAAACAGUUUGAAAAUAAACGUCAAGGGCUUGGGUACUCACCCACAAGUGGAUCAUGUUAUCAUUGGGUGAACAACAACAUUGGACACAUUUGACAUAAUUAUUGAUAAAUAAAAAGAUGA